UGGGGAAUUUUGGACAAUGGGCGAAAGCCUGAUCCAGCAAUGCCGCGUGUGUGAAGAAGGCCUUCGGGUUGUAAAGCACUUUUGUCCGGAAAGAAAUCCUUGGCUCUAAUACAGUCGGGGGAUGACGGUACCGGAAGAAUAAGCACCGGCUAACUACGUGCCAGCAGCCGCGGUAAUACGUAGGGUGCAAGCGUUAAUCGGAAUUACUGGGCGUAAAGCGUGCGCAGGCGGUUUGCUAAGACCGAUGUGAAACCCCGGCUCAACCUGGAACUGCAUUGGUGACUGGCAGGCUAGAGUAUGGCAGAGGGGGGUAGAAUUCCACGUGUAGCAGUGAAAUGCGUAGAGAUGUGGAGGAAUACCGAUGGCGAAGGCAGCCCCCUGGGCCAAUACUGACGCUCAUGCACGAAAGCGUGGGGAGC
rnacentral:rRNA from 1 species